AACGAACGCUGGCGGCGGGCUUAACACAUGCAAGUUGAACGGUAUUUGUAUGGUGCUUGCACUAGACAAAGAGAGUAGCGCACUGGUGAGUAACACGUGGGAACGUACCUUGAAGUGGGGAAUAGCGUCUGGAAACGGACGAUAAUACCGCAUAAUCCCUGAGGGGGAAAGAUUUAUCGCUUUAAGAACGGCCCGCGGAAGAUUAGGUAGUUGGUGGGGUAAAGGCCUACCAAGCCGACGAUCUAUAGCUGGUCUGAGAGGACGAUCAGCCACAUUGGAACUGAGACACGGUCCAA
rnacentral:rRNA from 1 species